rnacentral:rRNA from 1 species
AACGAACGCUGGCGGCAUGCCUAACACAUGCAAGUCGAACGAGACCUUCGGGUCUAGUGGCGCACGGGUGCGUAACGCGUGGGAACCUGCCCUUAGGUUCGGAAUAACUCCCCGAAAGGGGUGCUAAUACCGGAUAAUGUCUUCGGACCAAAGAUUUAUCGCCUUUGGAUGGGCCCGCGUUGGAUUAGCUAGUUGGUAGGGUAAAAGCCUACCAAGGCGACGAUCCAUAGCUGGUCUGAGAGGAUGAUCAGCCACACUGGGACUGAGACACGGCCCAGACUCCUACGGGAGGAAGCAGUGGGGAAUAUUGGACAAUGGGCGAAAGCAUGAUCCAGCAAUGCCGCGUGAGUGAUGAAGGCCUUAGGGUUGUAAAGCUCUUUUACCCGGGAUGAUAAUGACAGUACCGGGAGAAUAAGCUCCGGCUAACUCCGUG